rnacentral:lncRNA from 1 species
GAUGGAGGCAGUAGUGUUCGUUGCCUCACUGCACAAUUGUUGUGCCCUCAUCUCCCUCUCAGUCUGGUUCAGAAUUAUUUCAUCUGAUUUAGAAUAUGAUUACAUUAAUUAGAUUGGAUCAUGUUGCUCAGAAUUAAAUAAGUGGGUAAUUCCAGAAUUGCUUGGCCAUACCAAUGUCACUGUAUUUUGCUUGUUUCACUGCACUGGUUUGUAUUCUCUCUCCACUUACCUGUUGCUACUUGGAAUAUAUAUUGGUUCAUUAUGGUGCCAAGUGGCAACAUGGGGGUGUUUGAGUCAACAGAAAUACAGUUGAGGGCAACUGAAAUGACACAUGAACGAAGCCAUGAUCAAGCUUGGUUUUCACCUGCUCUGUUUCUUCGUGAAUUUUUAUAGUAUGAUUUUAGCUGUGAUAAAUAACUGAAGCCAGAGAAGCUAAAGUUGGAGUUAGGAUAACCUACAGUGAACAGUUAAGGAGCCAGCGACUACUUACAUCAUCCUGAGAACUGUGACCAUAGCAGUAUAUAUUUUUGUAUUUGAACAGAUAGUAUUUUUUGCUAUAUUUUUACCAUAUAAAGUAUUUUAAAAACAACAAAAAA